rnacentral:lncRNA from 1 species
CAGACUGCGGGCAUCCUGGAACACCGGCCAGUUUUCACCUGUUUCUGGACGUUGUGUCGUGGAGCCGUCUUUGUAAGGGACUCGGAUCACGCGUUUUCUUUGCUGAGUCGCCUUCCACGUGGCUUUGUCUGUUCUGUGGUUGGGGCGUCUCCUCCCUCCCACACGGGGUGUGCUGUGCCACCCUUGGAGGGCCUUCUCCCAUCGGGCCCCGCAUCUCCCGCCUGGCCUGUGGAGUGGAGUCCCCUGCCCUUGCUGCUGCUGUGGCCUCAUCUCCCAACUCAGCCUUGGCCUCCAGUGACAGGGCUGGAACCCUGGCAGCAGAGCCACCACGGCAGCGACUCAGCUGUGGCCUCCGGUGACAGGGCCGGGACCCCAGCAGGACCUCCACCAUGGUGGCAAGGCCUGGACCCCAGUGUGGGAUCACGCUUCUGCAGCUGUCCCUGAUGAAGUUGCCUGGGCACACCAGAGUGUGGGAGAGUGGACGGCGCGGCCCCUCCUGCACUUGGAGCUGCUCUCAGAUCUUGGGCUGUGACCCCUGUGGGUGACACGAAGUUCAGUGAUUGUCCUCCUUCUGGACUGAGGGACAUCCAUCCACACGCGCCCCCUCCACAGCCCGAUCCCAUCACGUCCUGCUCGUCCAACAUGGGCCUUAGAUCCUGGGGUCUCUGCUGAGUGCCUCCCCUCUGAACGCCCGGCUGGCACUUUCACGGUGAAGCCAGCUGUCAUGGACACCGACGGCAGGUGGCCUUUCUGCGUUGUCUACCGGCUGAUCUUGAAAGUGAAAACGGACAUUGUCUGCCCUGUGGUGACCGUGUUGGGUGAUGGUCCUGGGGUCAGGCCCUGCAUGCACCUUCACCCAGGGAUGGCUUCUUAGCUGACAGCGGCUCUGCCAGGAACCACGAUCACCCUCCAGUUUGCUCUUUGUGCUGAAUUUUAUUGACAUGAAAUUCGCAUGACGCCAACUUUAUCGUUUUAAAGUGAAUGGUUAAACAGAAUGCGGCACUUUCACAGGGCGGCAUGACCCCCACCUCUGUCUGCCUUCAGAACAUUUUCAUCCCCCACGAAAGGAGGAAGCGCAGUCCCCAGGAACAGUUACUCCUCAUUUCCCCUCCCCAGCUCUGGCUUCCGCAACCACGAAUCUGCUUUCUGUCUCCGUGAAUUUGCCUCUUUCGGAUAUAUUUCACGUAAAUGGAGUCCCGUGAUAGAUGAGCUGUGUCUGCCUCUUGCGGGCAGCACAGUGUCUGGAAGGUUCUCCGUGCAGCCGCAGGGGUUGGCGCUUCCUUCCUCCCGAGGCUGACCCGGCCCCGUCGUACGGGGAGUCCACUGUGUGUCUGUCUUUUGGCUGCUGUGAGCCUGGGUGUGCCGCCUGCUCCAGCCCAUGUUUUCAGCUCUUUCAGGUGUGGAGGGAGGAGUGGAAUUGUGGGAUCAUAUUGUAACUUUAACUUUGGAAGGAUCUGCCAAAUUACCCCUCUAAUUUGUUUUCAAUUUUAUUCUUAUUUCCCUGUCACUUGUUCUUUCUUUUGACUGGUUAAAAAAAAUGGCAAAGGUCUUCAGCAAAACAAGAAGUGAGUUUCAAUUGAACCGUGAAUUAAAUAUGAUACACUCAAAAUCUGACCAAUAAUACAUUUUAAUUUUCCCCACACAUUUACGUCCACGUUAAUUUCAUGGAAAUCAAGAUGCUUUUGCCUCUGUUCUAAAGUAUUUAUUUUUUUUAAGACAGGUUCUUACUCUGUUGCCCAGGCUGGAGUGCAAUGGCGCGAUCUCAGCUCACUGCAGUCUUGACCUCCCAGGCUCAAGCAAUCCUCCUGCCUCAGCCUCCUGAGUAGCUGGGACCACAGGUGUGCAUCACCAUGCCUGGCUAAUUUGUUACAUUUUUAGUAGAGACGGGGUUUCACCAUGUUGGCCAGGCUGGUCUGGAACUCCUGACCUGAAGCGAUCCUCCCACCUCAGCCUCCCACAGUGCUGGGAUUACAGGCGUGAGCCACCACGUGCAGCCUGAAAGUAUUUUUUUUUAGAGUUUCCUAAAAGUUUCAUCAUCCCUUUUGUUUUCCUAACAAGCUGUGAAACCCAGUGGGUUUUAAUUGUGAAUCAGCACCAAAACACAUGCAGAUUUAAUUUUUAAUUGAAAUGAUGGACAAUAA